AUGGUCUUUGCUGGACAACUUUGAAUGGAGCGAAGGAUAUACUGUUCGAUUUGGUAUCAACUAUAUUGAUUAUGACAAUGGACUGGAAAGACACUCAAAACUCUUGACGCAUUGGUUCAAAAGUUUUCUCAAGAGAUCCUCAAUCAGUAAGAAGAAAAUCCGAAGAUGUGGGAACAAUAAUGGUAGGGCUACCAAAUUUGUGUAUCAAAUUUGAAUCCCAAGGAUGGAUAAAGUACAAUGGCUCCUCCAUAGU
rnacentral:lncRNA from 1 species